rnacentral:rRNA from 1 species
UGGGGAAUAUUGCACAAUGGGGGAAACCCUGAUGCAGCGACGCCGCGUGCGGGAUGACGGCCUUCGGGUUGUAAACCGCUUUCAGCAGGGACGAAUUUGACGGUACCUGCAGAAGAAGCGCCGGCUAACUACGUGCCAGCAGCCGCGGUAAUACGUAGGGCGCAAGCGUUGUCCGGAAUUAUUGGGCGUAAAGAGCUCGUAGGCGGCUUGUCGCGUCGGGUGUGAAAGCUUGGGGCUUAACCCCAAGUCUGCAUCCGAUACGGGCAGGCUAGAGGCAGGUAGGGGAGAACGGAAUUCCCGGUGUAGCGGUGAAAUGCGCAGAUAUCGGGAGGAACACCGGUGGCGAAGGCGGUUCUCUGGGCCUGUACUGACGCUGAGGAGCGAAAGCGUGGGGAGCGAACAGGAUUAGAUACCCCUGUAGUCC